UCCACACUGUUCCUUAUUCUGUUAUAUAGUUGUUGCCCCUAAUAGAUUAAUAGGUUAUUAAAUUUAGAUAACGUACAUGUUAUUAUAUAAAGAAUGACUGACCACAUUGUUUUCUCUACCAAAGCUAAUCAGUACCUCUGGGAACCACUUGCAGAACUUGAACUGGGUUCUUUCAAGUAUACACACCUAUAAUUUCAACAGGGUACAACCAUCUAA
rnacentral:lncRNA from 1 species